UAUCCACUUCAAAAAAUCACAGGUUCGUGAGACAUUCAUCACGGGUUGAGAAGCAGUUUUAGAGACAAAUAACGCUAUACUCUAAUAAUGGUGGCGAUGUUAUUGCGCUCUGGUCCUUCCAAACAGAACAAGGCAUCGCUCAUCUUACAACACCUCCACACACUCCCGAGCACAAUGGGCUUGCAGAGUGUAAAGACAUGGAUGUUGUUGAAACUGAUAUGACACUCCUAUCACAAGCGUAUGUACCAAAUAGUUUCCAAACUUAUGCUUUGGCCACAACAAUCUAUCUCAUCAACAGAUUACCAAUGCAUAUGCUAUCAAUGGAGAUUCCAUACCAAAAGAUGUUUCAACGACCACCUAACUAUCAUAAUCUCAAGAUAUUAAGAUGUAUGUGCGUCCCAAGUGUGUUUCUUGGAUAUUCACUUAUUAAAAGUGCCUACCUACGCAUGGAUAGUGUUGCAAACCAACUAUAUGUCUCAUGACAUGUUUAGUUUGACGAAACCAGACUCCUUUUUCUGAAAAAUACAACUUAAUCUUCACAGAUUUUAAACUCUGAAAAAAAAAACAUCAUGAAAUAUGACUGUCGCACCUCAUCCUCAUAAAGCUCAGUCUCUGUCACUACCUCAAUCCACGGUGCCCCUGAGAUAAGUUCUUCACAUGUUGACGCAUCCGGUGACGACAUAAACACAAAUAAUGAGAAAGAGUUCAAAGAUAUGACCACCACUACUACCGACAAACAAUAACCCAUGUGCUAUUCCUCUAAACCAUAUUUCUUUAUUAUCUAAUACUGACCCAAUCAAGCCAUUUCAAUUAUACCAGCGACCCAAAACAAAUUCCAAACAAAUACCAAUACAACCCAACAAACAAUUUCAUCGUCUUUAGCCUUUCAAAAGAAACAAAACAACAAUAAAAGUCAGAACCACACAAUAUCCAUAAACCAGAACCAACAACCAUAAAUCAAGCCUUGCGAGAUGCAAGAUGAAAAAUGCAUGUUCAGAGGAAUUUAAAGCUAAAAUGUAAAACAAAACAUGAGAUUUGGUUCAUCCUUCACCGAAUCAGAAUGUGGUGGUCUGUCACUGAUAUUAACUACUAAAUUGUUAUUUGAUGAUACACUUGACAUUUAUAAAGCACGACUUGUGGCACGUGAUGAAAAUUAACAAUACGAGGUUGAUUUUUUUGAGACUUUCAGUCAUGUUAUAAAAUCAACCACAAUAAGAACCGUACCCAUAAUUGCAGAAAGCAAGGAUUCACCACUCAAAUAACUUGAUUUAAAUCUUAUUUUCUUACAAGCAAAACUCAUGGAAGAGGUCUACAUGUCUUAACCUCUGGGUUUUGUUGACAAGAACCAUCAACACUAUGCUUGUCGUCUGAACAAAGCGAUCUAUGUCUUGAAACAUUUGCCACAAGCCUGGUACCAAGAGUCGAAGCAAUAUUUGUUCUCUGCUGGAUUUCACAACUGCAAGGCAAGUGCAUCAUUAUUCUUUCUCUGGCACUACUCUGACAUCGUUUAUAUCAACGACAUAAUAGCCACCAUUAGUAACAUCGAGUUGAUCUACAACAUCAUCACCUCCCUCAGUCACAAAUUCUCUAUAAACGAUCUUGGUGAUUUGCAUUAAUUUCUUGGAAAAGAAGUUACCUGAACAAAUAAAGGACUUCACGUAAUACAAGAGAAAUACAUUAUUGAUCUGUUCACAAGAAAAAAUAUGAUUGAUGCAAAACCAGCACGACAUCGCUAGCAACCACUCCAACGCUCAGUCUUUCACCAGUGAGCAUUUACAUGAUGCAACAAUGCAUAUGGCUGUCAUCGGCAGCCUUCAAUAUAUUGCAUGCACACUCAAAGAUAAAUCAUAUGUUGUGGACCGUAUGUCCCAGUUUAUGUAUAAACCGACGGUGUGGAUCACUAGACAUCAGCAAAAUGUGUUCUUCGGUACUUAGCAGGUACAACCACACAUGGCAUUUCUCCUAAGACGACAAAUACAUUUACUCUACAUGCGUAUUCAGACGCGGAUUAGGUCGGUGAUACUAACAAUUUUGUUUCAACAAAUACGUAUGUGAUAUAUUAGGAGGACAUGUUAUCUCUUGGUUUUCAUAAAAACAAAAAAGAGUCUCUCACUCUUCUAUGGAAGCAGAAUAUAGAUUGGUUUCAAAGAAAACAUACGAAUAUGAAGUAAGAUGGAUAUGCUCACUUUUAUUGGACCUUGGGAUUCAUAUUCCACAAAUCUUAGUGAUAUAUUGCGGCAGCAUUGGAGCUACUUACCUCUGCGCAAUUUGAUAGUUUACUCCAUAGUAAAACAUGUUGUUUUGAGCUACCAUUUCAUCAGAGAGAAUAUCCAGUCUGGCCAGCUACGGAUAACAUAUCUACCAACAAAAGAUAAGCUAGUAGAUGCGUUUACAAAACCGUUACCAAAAACACUUUUUUAAGAUACUUGUUUCAAGAUUGGUGUUGACAUGACAUCUCUCUGUACUUAUAAUUAUUUAUUCUAAUUACCCUAUCAAGAGAGAGUUCAACAUUUCCCGUAUACCUAGAAAAAUGAAUUUACAUGCAGAUUCUCUCGCCAAGGAUGCGAGAAGUAGCGGUGUCCUCUUUUCCCAUAUAGAUCAGACCCAUCCGGAUAGAGCAUAUCUUCAGAACGACUCAAACCCGCUUACCACUUGAUCUUAGAAGAUGGGCGUCGACCAAAAAAAAUACUUUACAAAAUUAAUGAAACACAUCAAGCUUCCAAACCUAUAUGAUAUCAAAACCAUCAUUUUAGCUGCCAUCUACAUUUCAAAACGGCUUCAUCAAACACAUCCCCUAUUUCAACCAAUGAACAACUCACCCUCAGAAAUUAAACCUUGGUAUCUCCGUUGAAAUUCUAACCAAGAGUUUAUUGAAUUAUUCCCGCACAUUUUCAGGUGAAGUAUCUUAGCAUGAAGGCGUCAUUAGUCCAAUGAUGGACUAAAGACAUGCUUUACAAAUGACCAGUUCACCCAAACAUAAUCCAAAAUAUUUUUACUUCAUCAUCUCCUUAAACCAGUUCCAUUUCCUGGCAUGUCAGUUGGGGCACCUAUACACUUUUGUAUUAAAUUAUGUUGUUUCGAAGUUUCAUUUGUCUGUUUCUGCUAUUCGCAAAAUCUUUGUCACAAAUUGCCUUUCUCAUAAUUAACUCUACACUCAAAACCUUGAAAAUCAUAUACUCCGAUGUUUGGAGUUCCCCAAUCCCAUCUCAAGAAAAAUACGAAUAUUACAUCAUCCUAAUAGACCAUUACACCCGAUAUUUUUUGUUGUAUCCACUUCAAAAAAUCACAGGUUCGUGAGACAUUCAUCACGGGUUGAGAAGCAGUUUUAGAGACAAAUAACGCUAUACUCUAAUAAUGGUGGCGAUGUUAUUGCGCUCUGGUCCUUCCAAACAGAACAAGGCAUCGCUCAUCUUACAACACCUCCACACACUCCCGAGCACAAUGGGCUUGCAGAGUGUAAAGACAUGGAUGUUGUUGAAACUGAUAUGACACUCCUAUCACAAGCGUAUGUACCAAAUAGUUUCCAAACUUAUGCUUUGGCCACAACAAUCUAUCUCAUCAACAGAUUACCAAUGCAUAUGCUAUCAAUGGAGAUUCCAUACCAAAAGAUGUUUCAACGACCACCUAACUAUCAUAAUCUCAAGAUAUUAAGAUGUAUGUGCGUCCCAAGUGUGUUUCUUGGAUAUUCACUUAUUAAAAGUGCCUACCUACGCAUGGAUAGUGUUGCAAACCAACUAUAUGUCUCAUGACAUGUUUAGUUUGACGAAACCAGACUCCUUUUUCUGAAAAAUACAACUUAAUCUUCACAGAUUUUAAACUCUGAAAAAAAAAACAUCAUGAAAUAUGACUGUCGCACCUCAUCCUCAUAAAGCUCAGUCUCUGUCACUACCUCAAUCCACGGUGCCCCUGAGAUAAGUUCUUCACAUGUUGACGCAUCCGGUGACGACAUAAACACAAAUAAUGAGAAAGAGUUCAAAGAUAUGACCACCACUACUACCGACAAACAAUAACCCAUGUGCUAUUCCUCUAAACCAUAUUUCUUUAUUAUCUAAUACUG
rnacentral:lncRNA from 1 species